AGUCAUUUUCUGUAUACCCCUAUUUUGUAUAGGUAAAUGCUCUUAAAGUAGAACAUUGGUGAUUCUCAUCAAGAAAAAAUGGAAACAUCUCACUUGGGCUAAGGAGAAAAAUAGACUGUUGCUCUAAAUGAAUCAUUUCAGUAGGACCUGAAGAAGAACAACAUUCAGGUUUCUUGAGGUCUGAAUUGAUCUGACUUGAUCCCUACAGAAAAUCUAUGGUGUUCUCAAGAUGAUGAGAAACACCAGAAACAAGUUGUAGGUCUCCAACAAAAGAAGUUGGGCUUCUUUAGCAUAUCACCUUAGUCACAGAUGGAUUGCCUAUGUGACGUGUUGUAUUGAUGCAGUAACUGAAAGAGUAUGGAGUAAAAAUGGUCUCAAAAUAUUUGUGUGUGUGUGUGUAAAAGUAUCUGUGCCUGUAUAAUACUGGAUUUGUAACUUGUGUUAGCAUCUUUGUGUGUAAUUUUGGAUAGUUGUCUGUGAAACAUGAAUUGUAAACCGUAAAAAGAAAAUAAACUUUCUCCUACCCCUACAAAUGUUGAAAAAGUACGCAAGGGUAUACAGACACACAAAACUGUAUUUACACACAGAUCCGGUUACGAGUGCACAAGUAUUUUUGAGACUCAUUUCACGCUUCCGGAGCUCCCAGAUUUGUGUGUAGAUGGUGCGUUUACAUGCUAGUAGAAAGCUGGGUCAUCUCAUUUUUGCUGCUUGUGUAGAAGUGGCAAAUACGUUAGUUCGAUGGAAAACGGUAUAUCUCAGUACUUCCUUAUAAUAUUCCAAAAUUAUUUAGACAUAUUGUGCAUUUUUGAGCGGUACAGGAGACUACGUGGUCUGAAAAACGACCACUGGGUGGCGGAAUGGUUCGCUGGCCGGAAAAGUAGGCAGGCAAACCAAGAAGCAAGACGGAGCGUCCCGGUGGUCUGUCAUCAGAACAGUAUUGAAGGUGGACCUGUAGGAACAUCAUCUGCUGCUAGACUUUAUUCACCAGAACGAACUGAAAGACAAUCUGCAGCAGCUGAG